AGACGAGCAUGAGUGGAGCAGGAGACGGCUGUCCCCCACCCACAAGGAAUAUCAGAUGAUGGUUCAGCGAUCAUCACAUUGCCUCUCUGAAAGUGAUAAAUUGGCAGCUGGCACCAGGGAGAGGCUAUUUCCUGAUGGCCCACACCUGUUGCACUAAGAUGUUAAUCGAAUGCAGAUUCCAGGGAGAAACAACUUCCUGGGCAUGUGCGUAAGAGACAAAAUGGCAGUAAAAAUUAGAGAAUGAGAUCAGAAUAUGGAUACAUUGCAAGAGGUGGAGCCCUGGAACAAAAG
rnacentral:lncRNA from 1 species